ensembl:rRNA 5S_rRNA 5S ribosomal RNA
UUACACAGCCAUAUCACCCUGCUGCCCAAGACCAGUUACUCACUAAAGCCAAGCAGGGCUGGGCCUGGCCAGUACCUGGAUGGCAGACCACAUGAGAAAACUAGGUUUCUGUUGGAA